GCUGUCGUAGCUCAAUUUGGUAGAGCAUCUGGCCUGUAAAAAUAUAUUUUAGGAGACCAGGAGGUUAAGGGUUCGAUUCCCUUCGGCAGCU
rnacentral:tRNA from 1 species